UACGAAGGGGGCUAGCGUUGCUCGGAAUCACUGGGCGUAAAGCGCACGUAGGCGGAUCUUUAAGUCAGGGGUGAAAUCCCAAGGCUCAACCUUGGAACUGCCUUUGAUACUGGGGAUCUCGAGUCCGGAAGAGGUGAGUGGAACUGCGAGUGUAGAGGUGAAAUUCGUAGAUAUUCGCAAGAACACCAGUGGCGAAGGCGGCUCACUGGUCCGGUACUGACGCUGAGGAGCGAAAGCCAGGGGAGCAAACGGG
rnacentral:rRNA from 1 species